CGCAUAGAGAAAUACAAUCUGCCAUACAUUCCAAACAGUAAACAUGUUUUAAAUAGUAUGGUGGAUGUAUCACAGAUUGUUGUUCUUAGGUUAAACAAUAUGAAACUAAAAGCCAGACACCAUAAAUAACAGAUAAGAUAACCUAUACCAAGCAUUAACAAUAUACCAUAGUGUGCAUACAUUGUCAAAUGAUAUGCAAAUGUGAGCUCGAAUUAAACGGUGGCAAUAUGAAAUCACAUUAUAUCAUACGGUUGGUUCUUAUGCUUGCGCAGCACACUCACACCAGAACAUUUCACUAUACAUUACUUUUGUUAAACAGUAUGGCAAAGAGUUGCACGUGUCUGUAAUUGUGAUCGACUUUAUUGAACAUGCAUCGUGGUUGUUUCUUUAUUUCUCGUCAAAUGUUUCACAAAGGUCUGUUAUCUAAAAAUCGCAAACUUAAUGAAAAUUGUACACGAGUAUUACUUUUUCUCUUUUCAAUUGUAUUUAUUAAUUGUAUUAUUAAUUGUUUAUAUAUAUAUAUAUAUAUAUUAUCUCUUUCCAAUUGUAUAUUUUUAUUUAUUUUUGCAAAAUAACUUUAACACUUGUAAUUGCAAAGCCAAAUAUUUUUACAAUAUUGUUUUCUAUUCGUAAGCUCUAUAAUAGUUUAAUUCAGUUGAUUGCAGCUUAACUUUGAAUGAAAAUUAAAAAAAAAUCAAGAUUUUGAUUACAUUGAGCGUAUUAUAAGUUAGGACCUUCUCAAAUGUUACGCGAGAUUCGAAUAACAACAGUGAAAAUAAAUAACCAUCGUCGCGGAAAAACGUAAAUCCGAGAAACAAAUUUCACUAGUCCACUAAUAAAAUAACGAUGCAGCUUCCACCUAGAAGGAACCUCGGAAGGAACAGGAUCUUAUUGUCGCAGAAAAUCGUCGGAAGAUCGGUGCCGAAUAGGCCGAGAAUAGGCAAACUGACCUGAUUCGAAUCAGAUCCGACAACAUCCGUGACUACUUGGAACAGCGUUAUGAGGAGGUAAGGUUUUUCUCCAAACAUUUCAUUAUUUGUUCAAAUUUUGAUGUUUUCAUCCUAUUUGUAGGAAUUGCUCACAGGCCGGAUAACCCGCUCGGAUUUGGUCAACCGAUUGUAGCAUCUAGGCUACUCUCACUGCAACGACGGUGCCAGCAAAAGAGGAAGAGCCAUCAGAGGAUAGUUCAGACGACCGCGAGGAAGAAUCCAGGUCAGCACCAGCGAAAUCUACAGCUGUAUCGAAGAAGUUCCACCAGUGAAACCUUGGUGAAUCUCCAAGUGUCCUGCUCUAAUUAACCGUUGCUGUCGCGGCUGCCAGCAACCAGCUUCAGCCAAGAAGAAAGACAAGUGGAGAUUCUAGUGAGGCGAAAUAAGUAAAACCACCGGCAAAAUGAAGACAUUCUUCAAAGAAAAAUCUGGAAUCGUCCGACAUAGAUUCUUCGGAUUCCGACGCGAAGAGGAACCAGCCGACAAGAGGAAAAUAUGGCAAGGACUGAUAAGUGUCGGUUCAACAACUAUGCCGGUGUUCAGACGUGCGGUCAAUGAACGUAUGGUUUUAAGGUUUUAAGAACUCACCGGCUCGCGUACAAAAUGCUCUUGGAAACGCCAAACUCCAACGCCGAACAACAUGGAGAUGCCGAUGGUGCAAGUGAAGCUGGAUAAACUACUAAAUAACUAAUAAAACGACUAAUUAGAUGAGCAUCCAAA